GACGAACGCUGGCGGCGUGCCUAAUACAUGCAAGUAGGACGCAGUUGCGAACGGGUGAGUAACGCGUAGGUAACUACCUAUUAGAGGGGGAUAACUAUUGGAAACGAUAGCUAAUACCGCAUACUAGUAGAUGGACCUGCGUUGUAUUAGCUAGUAGGUAGGGUAAUGGCCUACCUAGGGAACGAUACAUAGCCGACCUGAGAGGGUGGUCGGCCACACUGGGAAUGGGAAACCGCCCAGACUCCUACGGGAGGCAGCAGUAGGGAAUUUUCGGCAAUGGGGGGAAAGCUGACCGCGCCACGCCGCGUGAGUUAAGGAGGUUUUCGGAUCUUAAAGCUCUGUUGUUAAGGAAGCGGUACUUAACCAGAAAGGGACGGCUAACUACGUGCCAGCAGCCGCGGUAAUUC
rnacentral:rRNA from 1 species